GAAAUGCGAUACGUCAUGCGAAUUGCAGAACUCAGUGAAUCAUCAAAUCUUUGAACGCAAAUGGCGCUCUCGGGUAUGCCCGGGAGCACGCCUCUCUCAGUAUCGGUUCUACACUCCUCCUGCUCGCAGCGAGGGACAUUGGGAGUCGAGCGGUCGCGCUCGUCUCCUUAACAUGUGGAAGGCAUCGCAGCGGCUGGUUGAGCCUCCGCUGCGCUCUGCGGCGCUAUCGCCUAGACUGACGUGAUUAAGCGGUUUAUACGCAUCUACGUCCUCCUAGCGCGCCGACAGUGAGCUGACCCAGCAAGAACAACAACGGCGACCUAGUCGCUCUGACUUUGAUCUGAGAUGAAGCGGGAAGACCCCCUGAAUUUAA
rnacentral:misc_RNA from 1 species